rnacentral:tRNA from 1 species
GACGGCUUGGUGUAGUGGUAGCAUGUUUGAUUCCAGUCUUCUGCGGGAACUCCAAAUGGUCAUCGGUUCAAAUCCGAUAGUCGUCA